rnacentral:rRNA from 1 species
UACGAAGGGGGCUAGCGUUGCUCGGAAUCACUGGGCGUAAAGGGCGCGUAGGCGGCAUGGCAAGUGGAUGGUGAAAUCCCUCGGCUUAACCGAGGAACUGCCGUCCAAACUGCUUCGCUUGAGACCGGGAGAGGUGAGUGGAAUUCCCAGUGUAGCGGUGAAAUGCGUAGAUAUUGGGAGGAACACCAGUGGCGAAGGCGGCUCACUGGACCGGUACUGACGCUGAUGCGCGAAAGCGUGGGGAGCAAACGGG